rnacentral:rRNA from 1 species
ACAUGCAAGUCGAGCGGGGAGAUGUAGCUUGCUACAUUUCCUAGCGGCGGACGGGUGAGUAAUGCUUAGGAAUCUGCCUAUUAGUGGGGGACAACAUUCCGAAAGGAAUGCUAAUACCGCAUACGCCCUACGGGGGAAAGCAGGGGAUCUUCGGACCUUGCGCUAAUAGAUGAGCCUAAGUCAGAUUAGCUAGUUGGUGGGGUAAAGGCCUACCAAGGCGACGAUCUGUAGCGGGUCUGAGAGGAUGAUCCGCCACACUGGGACUGAGACACGGCCCAGACUCCUACGGGAGGCAGCAGUGGGGAAUAUUGGACAAUGGGCGAAAGCCUGAUCCAGCCAUGCCGCGUGUGUGAAGAAGGCCUUUUGGUUGUAAAGCACUUUAAGCGAGGAGGAGGCUACUUAGAUUAAUACUCUAGGAUAGUGGACGUUACUCGCAGAAUAAGCACCGGCUAACUCUGUGCCAGCAGCCGCGGUAAUACAGAGGGUGCGAGCGUUAAUCGGAUUUACUGGGCGUAAAGCGUGCGUAGGCGGCUUUUUAAGUCGGAUGUGAAAUCCCUGAGCUUAACUUAGGAAUUGCAUUCGAUACUGGGAAGCUAGAGUAUGGGAGAGGAUGGUAGAAUUCCAGGUGUAGCGGUGAAAUGCGUAGAGAUCUGGAGGAAUACCGGUGGCGAAGGCAGCCAUCUGGCCUAAUACUGACGCUGAGGUACGAAAGCAUGGGGAGCAAACAGGAUUAGAUACCCUGGUAGUCCAUGCCGUAAACGAUGUCUACUAGCCGUUGGGGCCUUUGAGGCUUUAGUGGCGCAGCUAACGCGAUAAGUAGACCGCCUGGGGAGUACGGUCGCAAGACUAAAACUCAAAUGAAUUGA